rnacentral:lncRNA from 1 species
GGCCGCGACUGUGGUCGUUUUUAUACCUUCCCGCGCGGACGCCGGCGCUGCCAACGGAAGGGCGGGUAGGGCGGCUCUGCUGCCAUGAAGGUGAAGAUUAAGUGCUGGAACGGCGUGGCCACUUGGCUCUGGGUGGCCAACGAUGAGAACUGUGGCAUCUGCAGGAUGGCAUUUAACGGAUGCUGCCCUGACUGCUGGAGUGCAAUGGCGCGAUCUCGGCUUGCCGCAACCUCUGCCUCCCGGGUUCAAACGGUUCUCCUGCCUCAGCCUUCCAAGCAGCUGGGAUUACAGGCAAGGUGCCCGGCGACGACUGCCCGCUGGUGUGGGGCCAGUGCUCCCACUGCUUCCACAUGCAUUGCAUCCUCAAGUGGCUGCACGCACAGCAGGUGCAGCAGCACUGCCCCAUGUGCCGCCAGGAAUGGAAGUUCAAGGAGUGAGGCCCGACCUGGCUCUCGCUGGAGGGGCAUCCUGAGACUCCUUCCUCAUGCUGGCGCCGAUGGCUGCUGGGGACAGCGCCCCUGAGCUGCAACAAGGUGGAAACAAGGGCUGGAGCUGCGUUUGUUUUGCCAUCACUAUGUUGACACUUUUAUCCAAUAAGUGAAAACUCAUUAAACUACUC